GCGCGACUCUGAGGCAGCCGCAGCCCGAGCCGCUUCAAACGGCGGGGCGGGGCGCCGGGGGCGGGGCCUCGGGCUGUAGGCGGGGCCAAGGCUCGGCGCCUUAGGACUCAGGGGAAAAUAACGCGGCAGGAGCACGGGGGCGUGGCCUCGGGCGGGGAAGGCGGUGGGACCGCUCCGGAGCCGACGAAAGGACCACUGAGACGCCUCGAAGCUGCGCCUGCGCGUCCUCUGCAGCUGCUACUGGUGCUGUGCCAGGUGACCUCAUCCCUCGGCCGGCCUGAGGAAACGAGGAGGCGCCUCCCACCCACUCCCCCGCUGCAGCACCCCAGAACUCAUCGCCCUUUCCCGCAGCGGCCACCUCCCCAACUCCUUCUAUUACGCCGAGUUGCCUUUUCCAAGACAACUUACCGGAAAGUUUUCAUCGCCUGGGGAACACCUUUUUUUUCUGCCUCUGACUUCGUUUUUGCCUUUGACGCUCCUGAUCGUUUCGAUCUUGGCAGCCGGCGUAUUCACAAAUAUUUAUGAAACCUUACUGUGUUUCUGGCUCUGAGCUACCCCUUGGAGAGUAACAAUUCCCAGAGCUCACGAUCUUGAACUGCAAUUUCUGUGCCUGCAGGCCACUAAGGACUCCCAAGUCGUUGUCCAUCUUGUUCCCCACUGCCCACACCCAUUUCUUCCCCCUGCUCACCUGGCAAAUUUGAGUGUGCAUCAGAAUCACCUGGGUGCUACACGCAGCCCCGCUUUAUGUGUUUCCCAGAUCCUCUGGGAAAAAGAGAAAUCCACAUCUUAGCAAGCACCAGCACAAUUCUGAAGUAGGUGGUCCACAAACCAGUUAAACUGCGCUGGGAUUUAAGCCCCCGAGGGCAAGAGCUGUGCUUGCCUAGAGAUUGUAGGCACCUAGUCCCGGUUUGCUGCCUUUGAGUGCCUGGGGCAAAUUUCACCUCCUCUGGAAGCAAUUACUUGUGCCCUUUUCUUAUUUUCCGUAAUACUUGACUCACAGCUACUCCUCCCAACUUCCCAGGUUGGGCUAAACAGUGAGUUCCAGAAGGCCCAGACAUGGGAGGUUUGUUUCCAUAUCCUCGGUGCCUAGCACAUAUCAGAAUGUUUGAACAAAUUGUAUGUAGGCAUGAAAACACAGUGAAACUUGCAACAACUUCUUCUGCCACCCCAAAGCAAGUUGUUCAGAUUUUCUCAUAGAGGUUCCAUGAAAGAGCCAGUGUAUCCCAGUGGUCAAGAACACAUGCUCUGGAGUCUGACUAUUUAAGUUCAAAUCCGACAAGGCAAUGUCCUUAAAACCCCUAAGCCUCAGUUUCAUUAUCUAGAAGUGGGCGGGGCUAAUUACUGAUUCUUGCCUUACCAUAUGUUCUGCUUGGUCAGUAUGGCUGUUACCUGCAUUGAGACUUAUUCUGUCCCUACCACCCCUGCAGGCUAGAAUGUGGCAUCAUAUUCUACUCUCUCUAUGCCCGGCUAGUUCAUUGAAAAUAAAUAAAAAAUAAAUUCCAGAGGCUCCCCUUAGAUGGGGGCUUGAACCAUGAAAA